CUGCACGUGACGCAUUAUCAGUGAUUUAGCAGGCUAAAAAGCUUAUGAAUUAUUAAUAAGUGGUUGACUGAACACUCGGCUACUAAAACCAGCAUUUCCUGCGCGCAUCACGCCUGUGAGGUCAUUAUGCAUAAGGUUUAUUUUUAGCUGUUGUGAAGAUCUCCGGCCCCGAUCUUGAUGGAACAACUGCAUGCAUAUUUAAUUGUUUUUUAUUUCUAUCCAGAUUUGAAUUUCAUAAGAUGACUUGUGUUGGUUUUCUCAUUUUAUUUGGUCUGAGUUUUGUGUUGUUUUCAUGCGAAGGUCAGACUUUAUAUUUUUAUUUUUACAAAUUUUAUUUCCCCAUGUAUUAUUUCCUUUAUUUAUCUAAGUUGAGUGAGUUGUCUUUCCCCAUCCCCACUGGAUCCCUUCGUGACAAUACAUGAUUGGUGGUCAGACUAGGUUUUUCAGUUAACCGAAAAAUUCGGGUUUUUUUCAAAAUUGGUGAUCAUU